UACAGAGGUCUCAAGCGUUGUUCGGAUUCAUUGGGCGUAAAGGGUGCGUAGGUGGUGCUGUAAGUCAGGUGUGAAAUCUCGGGGCUCAACCCCGAAACUGCACUUGAUACUGCAGUGCUCGAGGACUGGAGAGGAGAUUGGAAUUCAUGGUGUAGCAGUGAAAUGCGUAGAUAUCAUGAGGAAGACCAGUGGCAAAGGCGGAUCUCUGGACAGUUCCUGACACUGAGGCACGAAGGCCAGGGGAGCAAACGGG
rnacentral:rRNA from 1 species